rnacentral:rRNA from 1 species
GACGAACCGUGCGAACGUUGUUCGGAUUCACUGGGCUUAAAGGGCGCGUAGGCGGGUGACCAAGUCAGGGGUGAAAUCUUUCGGCUCAACCGGAAAAGUGCCCCUGAUACUGGUCGUCUCGAGGGAGGUAGGGGCAUGUGGAACUUCCGGUGGAGCGGUGAAAUGCGUAGAUAUCUGGAGGAACACCGGUGGCGAAGGCGGCGUCCUGGACCAACACUGACACUGAUGAGCGAAAGCCAGGGGAGCAAACGGG